UGCCAAUGCUAUCUGCUCUCUCAGCUCCUGCAAAGUUCAGUGGCUCAUCCUCCAAGCUGCGUAACUGCAAGACGUCCAUGUCCAGAUAUUUUGAGACUGGAAGGAGAUAAACUGAAACUUUGUAUGGUAUACGAGUGUAUGUAUUUCUGAAAGUUACCUCGAGUCCACAAUCUAGGUGACCUUACAUACAUUCGAACAUUCUUCUCCGGGAUUUACUAUUUACUCAGCUUUUUUUUCAGCUACGUAAGUUCUAAAAGGCUGUUAAAUUAAAACCAGGGCAGAAUCCCGACUUUUAUCGUACCAGUUCGCAGUUUUAACCAAAUUCGUCACAAAAUUAUUCAGAACUAAUUUGGUUUAAUAACUCUUGCAAUAUUUCCAUCAUAUUGAAUUAUAUUGUUUAAGCUUUCCUUCAAUUUUUGAACAAACCAAAAGUUGAAUUAUGAGUUGAAUGGAACACUAGGUUCACGAACCGUUCCAGCUGUAAUUUUGUUUGAUGUACAGCCGUCUUAGAAUCUUCUAAAUAACAAAUAAGUUCCAAAUAUAGUGGAAAUCAAGAUUGACUACAAUGUGUGUAGAAUAUACGAAACUAAUUGGGUUAAGCUAAGAGUGGAUGUGUUGAAAAGAGCCAUGAUGCUCGCAAACUCAACGCGUAUAUCUGAUUACACGGGUUUUCGGGCUGUCGAAGAUAAGACAAAAUUGAGGACAAAUAAAAAUUAUCUGCUUUCAAAUCAGGUUAUACGAUGCCACUCGGAUGAGUGCAAAGCAAUUAGAAUUUGUUUACUCUGCUCUACACGAUACAUAGAUUUCGUAUGUCUUUCAAAUGUUCAAAUAAUAGACAAUUUCUGUGCAAUUGUUGUUACCAAAAGUGCUUCAAUCCGGCUGCAAUCAUUCCUGAAAGAAUAUAGCCAAGGCAUCAGUUGAAAACGAAAUGUGAGCAAUUUCACCUGGCCUAAUAAAAUAGUUCCCCCGCGGCCGCAAAGACCCUGGGACAAUGUUGCGCCGCCCACAUCAUAUAGGCCGUGAUUGAAUUAGUUUGAAGGGGCCAUUCCGUGACUACGUGAUUCCAUAUAUGCACCAUAAUCGAGUUCUCAGUGCGGGCACGCACGAAAAGCGCAGUCUCUGGCUGGAAAAAUAAUCUCCAUUCCUGCCAGGGAACCUCGUAAAAUGCGUUAACAUCGAACACUUUAAAUCCCUGACAGCGUUGCCGAUUAUUGACCAUGAGGGUAACAUUAUUCGUACCACAAAUCUCUGACAAAACGCGCACCAAGCCCAUGGGUCCAUUAUGGGCCCACGUCUCGCCCCUAUAAUUAACCUGGAAGUCCUGCAGAAAUAAUUCGCAAAGCUGAUGGCCAAACCCAUUGGGUUCCAAUCCUAUAACACCGUUGCCGAUGCUAUCUGCUCUCUCGGCACCUGCAAAGUUUAGUGGCUCUUCCUCCAAGCUGCGUAACACUAAAACAUCCAUGUCCAUAUAGACGCCGCCGAAACGAUAAAGUGUUAUUAAACGGAGUAGGUCGGAUAGGUGAAACAUCAGAUAACUAAGUGGUAUAUAAAUCAAAGCAGUAGCUAAAUUAUGAUGGAAAAUAAUUUUAAACCUUGACUUAAAUAGAUCGCCUUUCUUGAGCCAAUCCGCGAUAGGCGUAUCUUCUGCAUAGCGAUCCAGAUUUAUCGACCGAAAUUGCACAUUCUUGUAGCUUAGAAGGGCAUCAAUGAUGGGCACUGAUUCGUUACGGAUGGAGCAGGCAAACAGAACAAAUACUUGGAAUUUUGGAUUAUGCAAAGCGGCAGAUUCAAUGGCACAGGCCUGAUGCGCUUUAAUGCUACUCAUAUUGUACUGGGAUUCUGAACGGUAGCAGCUGCUCUCUAUAAAAAAUAUCGUUCGUCCUGGCGGAGGUUUUGAGCUGAACAGUAAAAUAUCCUCAACAGCUGCAAGCUUUCCAUUUGAAGUCAAGGAUUUUAUGCUGAACACGAGCACAACAGCUACGAGGACCGCCAGUAUCAGACGUCGUCUACAAAUCAGGAUCGAUAUGCCAAAUGAGCUACUUAUGAAAUGGGCUAAAAAAUACCAAAGAUGCUCUGCUUCUUGACACAUUUUUUUUUUCAUAAAC